UGCGCAGGCGGUUAUGUAAGACAGAUGUGAAAUCCCCGGGCUCAACCUGGGAACUGCAUUUGUGACUGCAUGGCUAGAGUACGGUAGAGGGGGAUGGAAUUCCGCGUGUAGCAGUGAAAUGCGUAGAUAUGCGGAGGAACACCGAUGGCGAAGGCAAUCCCCUGGACCUGUACUGACGCUCAUGCACGAAAGCGUGGGUAGCGAACA
rnacentral:rRNA from 1 species